UCCUCUCCGGUCACCUCCGCUGCCUCUGAAAUCCCGAGGGAAGCACCUCUUCCCAGCCCCACGGAAGCGUCCGGCAAGGAGGGCACGGCCGCUUACGAGGAAGCUGACAUAAAGCCUUAGUUUCAAUAAAACAUGAAGUUUCCCUGACUUUCUAGGCCGGCGGUUUGCCUGAAGGUGCUCAUAUAUAUUUGUGACCCACCCGGCGCGACCGUGGGCUGGAGCGCGUUGCCUGCCUCUCUCAGCUCCUCCGCCAGCGCCGACCUCGCGUGCCCUGACACCGUCGGCCGAGCCAGAAUAUGUUUUUUAGGGCAGAUGUCCUUCUGUCAUGUACAUGAAGGAAGUUGGACAGAAAAGUUGACAGCUCACCACAUCCUGUGAGUGAGGACGCGCAGCCUGCCAGGGAGGUCUGGGCUAUGAACUGGCACAGCAAGUCAUCUCACUGGAAAAAGCCAUGCUUCAGAAAAAAAGGGGAAAGACUAUGAGAAUUAUAUCUAAUGUUAAUGACACACAUAUGGAGAAGGAAAAUGGCUUGCUUACCACCUUGACGCCCAUCUGAAGCAGAAGUGGACCUGCACUACAGGAGACCCGAGCUCCCGAUCCGGUCACGAGCUCCUUCCCACUCAACAUACAGGUCAUGACAUGAUGUUACUUUUUGCAGAUAAGUAUAUGUCAACAUGCUUCCUUUCAAAAAAGAUUCACAACUGGGUCGCAUUUAGUUAUUAUUCCUUUGUGAGAGACAGUUUUAGGGCUCAUGGAAUUUACAACAUGGAGCCCCUGUGCUCAUAUCAAUGCCUUUCUUCUGGAUUUUGUAUGUAACUCCUGGCAAGUCACCUCGCCUCUGGCUGCAAAAUAAAGACUGUGCAUAGCUACUUCCCCAGGGAUGUAUCGUGCUGUAGAACAAGGCCUGAUCCUGUCACACGAGGAAAAAAAAAAGAAAGAGAGACCUUUUACUUUUGCACCUGAAAAUGGCAAGAAAGGCUUUGCAUUUCCAAAUUGGCAUAGGUUAUCUGUAUGAUAAUGUCUACUAGUCAGUUAUUUCUUUUCUGCUGCUGCUGCAAGCAUUCCUCUUGCUGUCCAAUCCCAGCCUUGGAAACAUUGGAGAAAGGAGAUCUUUGUGCAGCAAGAGCUCCGCAUGUGGCUGUUGAUUGACUGGCGAUGAAUUCAGCAUGUAAAGGUCACAGAUGCAUGGGUUACAUCAGAGCACAUCUGGCACCAAAAGCUUCUCUGUUCAGGGACGUGGUGAGGAGAUUUGAUGAACCGGGCACAGCUGAAGAGCAAACAUCUGAAGGGAAUGAGAGCCCUAAACAUCCUAGGUGGUCUUAGGGAGGGAAAACUGAACAACUGCACCCUUGAAACCCAGAAAAUUAAUACAGAUGGGAGGAAAAACAUUUCUUAGCAGAGCCUUUCUAGACACCCGUGCACGUGUGGUCCUGUGCGUAAGCGCCCAGCCUGACCUGCAUGGAGAUGAUUCUCACAGACAGUGCGGACUAUCUGAAGUCAGGAAUUUGGCUGGGAUGUCGAGAUGCCUCUGCAAGCACAGCUUCCCAGGCGCUGGGCUGGGCAAGCAGAGGGUUGUGCGGUUAAUAGUUUCCAGGCGGCAGGGAGUGCCGCUCGAGGCUCCUCGUGAAUGGGGUUCUCAUGGGAAGGAGAAAAAAAUACAUUCAGUUGCCCUCUGGCCUGCGUUUCAGGGGAAGUAAAUUAGUGGUACAAGAGGAGGCCGCUUUGCAGAGAGACUUCGAGGUCUGGAAGACAUCUCUCUCCCGGAUGCUUGGCCACAUUCUUCUUGUUUAUUAUUUUUAGCAGGCAGCAGAUUGCCAGGUGUGUCAGAGAUGGACAGAAAAAUGAGGUACCUGCCCUCAUGUGCAUGCAGUGUCCUUUUCUGAUGUAAGAUAACAGCAGAGAAGGGCCAAGGAGAGGGCAGAUACAAAUCACUAUGGUGCUUGCACGCGACUGGUCAGGAUGGGCACAAGCAGUGGAGGUGGUCCUGUUUCGUCUCUACCUGUUUAUAGUAUGUGGCACAAGUCACAGACAAGAACGAGCAGCUAGUGAAUCAGUGCCAGUUUUUGGGCACUGCAAGAAUGCUCCCUGAAAGCUGCUAGAGAGAAACAAAAAAUUUUUAAAAGCAUGUCAUUCCUUGAUAUUUGCACAAGUUUCACUUCAACCUUAAUUCUGCUUCUAUCUGACCGCUCCAGCAGACAAGGCUGCUAUUUCCAAUAUAUUGGCAAGGCUGCUAUUUCCUGUUUUCCAAGGCCAUUUUUUGCAGGAGAUCCAGUGAGUUGGGCCCUUUUUGUGCAGCAGUAAUUGAGAGUUCAAGCACUGUACUUGCUUGUUGUGUUGACUCUUAGCUCAUUUAGCAGGAGGAUCAUUUAACUGUGCAUUAACUUUCCUUUAAAUGUGCUGGUUUCAUAAUUAAGUCUUUACUCUUUUUCCUAGGUAUUCACAGUGCUUCUAAAGUGUCUGUUAAGGAAGUUUUACAGGGCCUGAAAGUGGAGAAGAGGGUUCAAAGAGGCCCAUCCAAAACCUUCAGUCACCCUGGGCAGAGGGAGAAAGUUAGCAACACUGGAGAAAGUCAGCAACCAAAAAAACUUCAAAUGCCAAAGAGGAGAGAAUAAAAUGGCUAGAAGACAGGCAAUUUCUAUUGACAAUCUCACAAACAAGAGGGAUAAAACUCAAAUAUAAACAAUUAGAAAGAAGCAUAUCUGUCAUGUCUGUGGCACUGUCGAAACAAGAAUCCAUCUGGGAAAAGAUCCAGCACUGCCUCCUAUUAUUUUUCCUUUGCCUAGACAUGUUCUAAACAAUAUAUUUCCCCAUGGCACUUAUUCCUGGAGUUACUCACAUGCUGUAUUUCUACUACAUCCCAACUAUCUGCCUUCACCAUGUGUCGGGGAUGAAACACCUCAAGAGAAUUUUUUUGAUGUUUCACCGCGUCAUCCUUAAAACGAGGGGAAUGCGUGGAGAAUCGCUAUUGGCACCACAAGACCAACUAACGAAUUUGCUAAGACUGGGCCUGAGACGUUAAAACAAAUGUAUGGCAGCUAUGAGCCACUUAACAGGCCCAGGUCCCUCCUCUCCCCAGAGCUUCAAAAGAGACGCCCAUCUUUUCGGGGAACAUGACAGACAUCAGCCAGGACUAAUACAGCCUCAGCAAAGAGGAGCACAGCCCUGCCACCGAAGGCUUUGAUGCAUCUGAGCUGGUGAAAGGAGAAUGGAAGAAGAGGAGGAAGAUGUGAAAGGAACAUGUCAAAGGCCUAGGGCAAUGAGGCAGGUCAGAGGGAGUAACAAGAACCACAGCCUGAACUGCUUAUUGAUAACAUGCAGAAAGCAGCUCAGCACUUCACCAAGACAGAAAACCAGAGGCAGAUUUGCACAGGAGGGUUUUCUCCCCCACCCUUUAUCACUGAGACUUCUGCCAGCUCUGAGUGUCCUGCUCUGACAGCGCUGGACCCACUAGCGUGGGCUGGCGGCGUGGCCAAGAGACAAUUAGGGAUUAGUGAGACACCAACGCAGGCAGGUGAGAUCAGAGCUGCUUGUCUGACAUUUCUCCCCCUCCACCCCCUGUUUUCCAGCCAGGCCAAGAUGCAAACGUGCCUCCGAUUAUCGACUUGCAGAAACCUCUGACAUUCUGGGGAGGACCAAGCCACCAGCCCUUUCUUGCAGCAUCACCCUGUGAUUGCUCCCGCUUUGCAAAGAGGACAUCAGUGAACCAUGCCAGCCUGCAAGCUCCCACCUGCCGGCCGAACCUCAGCCCUCAACAGCAUCAAUGAACGACGCCAAUAACAUUGAGGGCGGGCUGCGUGGGGCAGGAAAAGUCGCCCAUUUUGCAUUUGCACAUCGGCAUUAUGCCAGGGCUCCACUCUGGUGUUGACAGAGUACGCAUUGCAGAUGUUAGCAAAUUGCUGGUCGUGCCCACGGCUGUUCCUUGCAGGAGCUGCUCCUCAAUCAUGGGGCUACAUCAGCAGGACAGGCUGUUUGCGUUCAACCAUUUCCAGCUCGGAAAUGAGACCCUGCGAGCGUGACAAGGACGGGUACAAUCAUUGCAAAGAACUGUCAGACAUGAACAGGAGGGAAAUCAAGAGUCCUUCCACAUGCAUACUCUGCAAAGAAAGUAAAUAGCAAAAUAAACAACAGAGUCAAACACCCAGAGCAUAUUUAGUUUUCCUCUCUCAGGCACU